CUGGUAAGUGCUGGUUUCCCAAGUUUCCAAACUUGUGACAAUCUGCCUGCUCUCUGACCCAAGCUUCAGCCUGCACCAGGUCUAAUAGUCUCAGAGUUUUGCUCUGUCUCUGGGCUUCACUGGCCAUGUUUGCUAUAGGACUGUCCAUGAAGCUGGGUCACGUUUGCUGGGAGCUGGGCCAGACAGCAGGUCAUUAGCCAAUAACUGCUCCGUUGAGAUGUUGGACCAGAUGGGAGAGGUAAAGUCAGAGCCAGGAAAUGGAGCCAAAGGUGCAUCAGGUGCAAGCUCAGGAGAGAAGAAGCAUCAGAACCCGGGCAAAGGGCUUCAGUGGCAAAAGGCUCAGCUCAGAGCUUGAAGACCAGCACAUUCAACACUUGAAUUUAGGAAUAUCCUCUAACCACUCCACCCUCCAGAACAAGAAUUCAAAUCCUAUCUGAAACAGGCUCCAGCCCUCUACUGAUGUGUUUCUCCUGGGCCUCCCUUCUCCACUUUGGAUUUCCUUUGGUUAUCUGGUUUUCUGUACGCAACAAAUAAAACACUUGUUUGACUAUUUGUGCCUCCA
ensembl:lncRNA